rnacentral:rRNA from 1 species
ACAAGCGGUGGAGCAUGUGGUUAAUUCGAAGCAACGCGAAGUAACCUUACCAGGUCUUGACAUCCCGAUGCUAUUUCUAGAGAUAGAAAGUUACUUCGGUACAUCGGUGACAGGUGGUGCAUGGUUGUCGUCAGCUCGUGUCGUGAGAUGUUGGGUUAAGUCCCGCAACGAGCGCAACCCCUAUCUUUAAUUGCCAUCAUUCAGUUGGGCACUUUAAGAGACUGCCGGUGUUAAACCGGAGGAAGGUGGGAUGACGUCAAGUCAGCAUGGCCCUUAUGUCCAGGGCUACACACGUGCUACAAUGGGCGAUACGGAGGGAAGCAAGGCCGCAAGGUAGAGCUAAUCCCUAAAGUCGUCCUCAGUUCGGAUUGCAGGCUGCAACUCGCCUGCAUGAAGUCGGAAUCGCUAGUAAUCGCGGAUCAGCUACGCCGCGGUGAAUACGUUCUCGGGCCUU